rnacentral:rRNA from 1 species
GACGAACCGUGCGAACGUUGUUCGGAUUCACUGGGCUUAAAGGGCGCGUAGGCGGGUGGCCAAGUCAGGGGUGAAAUCUUUCGGCUCAACCGGAAAAGUGCCCCUGAUACUGGUCGUCUCGAGGGAGGUAGGGGCAUGUGGAACUUCCGGUGGAGCGGUGAAAUGCGUAGAUAUCGGAAGGAACGCCGGUGGCGAAAGCGACGUGCUGGACCUUUCCUGACGCUGAGGCGCGAAAGCCAGGGGAGCAAACGGG